UGAGCUUGAUCCUGGCUCAGGACGAACGCUGGCGGUAUGCCUAAUACAUGCAAGUCGAACGCUGAAGCACUCUGCUUGCAGAGUGCGGAUGAGUGGCGAACGGGUGAGUAACACGUGGGUAACCUGCCCAUAAGAGGGGGAUAACAUCCGGAAACGGGUGCUAAUACCGCAUAGGUGAACGGAGCGCAUGCUCUGUUCAUUAAAGGUGGCCUUGCGCUACCGCUUAUGGAUGGACCCGCGGCGUAUUAGCUAGUUGGUGAGGUAAUGGCUCACCAAGGCGAUGAUACGUAGCCGACCUGAGAGGGUGAUCGGCCACACUGGGACUGAGACACGGCCCAGACUCCUACGGGAGGCAGCAGUAGGGAAUCUUCCACAAUGGGCGAAAGCCUGAUGGAGCAAUACCGCGUGAGUGAAGAAGGUCUUCGGAUCGUAAAGCUCUGUUGUUAGAGAAGAACACGCAGAACAG
rnacentral:rRNA from 1 species